CAGGAAGUACAAGUGUAAAUUGAGGAUGAAGUACCUCAAUCCUCAUUCAAAUCUUGAUUCCAAAUUAAACAAUCGUCCACCAAGAGUUAGGCCUGAAGAUUUGAAAAUGUUCAUUGAACAUAAUUCGGAUCCCAGAAUUGUAAAAUAAAGGAAAAAAAAUGUCGAGAAUAGGAAAAAUUUUAAAAUUUACCAUACGAGUGGCAGGCAUGGCCAUGCGAGAAUCGAGGAAUAAAUACAACACCAAAAGAAAGAUGGAGACACCCUGAUUAGUAGGACUAAAGUAUGGAUUAAAACCUAUACAAUAAAGGAUGAUUCUAUUCACAGUAAUGCAGCUUCGCAUGUGGAAAAAGUCAAAGAGUUACUUGCUAACGAAGGAAGUAAUUCUCAUGACAUCCUCAACGAUCCAUUAACUCAAGUGUUUGGUCCUGAUACAAGGGGUCGUGUUCAAGGUAUUGAGACCACCAUUUCCCAAUCACAAAUCAGGGGGUCCGCUGCAGCUCUUGAAAAAAUCUCUUCGUGUAAAGGAAAAGUAGAAGAGCAAUCGUUCAAAAUUCAAGAGCUAUCUUCUAAAAUAGAUUUUCUUACGGACCAAAUUGGGGGUAUCAAGGAGAUGAUUCAGCAACAACAUAUGGAUUCAGUUCAACCGGAGAAUCUACAAUCGACUGGUGGACCCUCAGUUGGGAAUUAUCAAUGUGUAGAGAGAAUACGGCCAUGCAAGUUGUACUCUUGGCGUAAAGAACUCGUUG